UGAACCUUACCUAUGUUCUGUUGCCUCGGCGGCGUCGGUCAGCGCCCCUCUGAAAAGAGGACGAUGCCCCUCCCGCCGGCAGCACCAAACUCUUGAAUUUUACAGCGGAUUACAGUUCUGAUUUGAAAACAAAAAAACAAGUUAAAACUUUCAACAACGGAUCUCUUGGUUCUGGCAUCGAUGAAGAACGCAGCGAAAUGCGAUAAGUAAUGUGAAUUGCAGAAUUCAGUGAAUCAUCGAAUCUUUGAACGCACAUUGCGCCCGGCAGUAAUCUGCCGGGCAUGCCUGUCCGAGCGUCAUUUCAACCCUCGAACCUCCGUUUCCUCAGGGAAGCCCAGGGUCGGUGUUGGGGCGCUACGGCGAGUCUUCGCGACCCCCGUAGGCCCUGAAAUACAGUGGCGGUCCCGCCGCGGUUGCCUUCUGCGUAGUAAGUCUCUUUUGCAAGCUCGCAUUGGGUCCCGGCGUAGGCCAGCCGUCAAA
rnacentral:sRNA from 1 species